AGUGAACGCUGGCGGCGUGCUUAACACAUGCAAGUCGAACGAGAACGGGUUAUAGCUUGCUAUAAUUGUCAGCUAAGUGGCGCACGGGUGAGUAAUGUAUAGGUAAUAUGCCUCUUACUAAGGGAUAACAAAUGGAAACGUUUGCUAAUACCUUAUACUCCUUAUUAACAGAAGUUAAUAAGGGAAAGAUUUAUCGGUAAGAGAUUAGCCUGUAUUGUAUCAGUUAGUUGGUGGGGUUAUGGCUUACCAAGACUAUGACACAUAACUGGUUUGAGAGGAUGAUCAGUCACACUGGAACUGAGACACGGUCCAGACUCCUACGGGAGGCAGCAGUGGGGAAUAUUGCACAAUGGACGAAAGUCUGAUGCAGCAACGCCGCGUGGAGGAUGACACAUUUCGGUGCGUAAACUCCUUUUAUAUGAGAAGAUAAUGACGGUAUUAUAUGAAUAAGCACCGGCUAACUCCGUGCCAGCCGCCGCUGUAA
rnacentral:rRNA from 1 species